GCGAGCACUGAGGCAGCCAAGGGAGCACAGGUGGAGGCAACUCACCUGUGCUGCAGGAAGAGGUGGAGCCAGGCUGCACCUCUCCUAGACCCACAUAAGAGCUGACUGCCAGUGGGGAAUCUUCUGGAGAUCCCUCCUCUAGGGUUUUGCAGUGAGCCCAGGACACAGGAAGAAACAACACCAGGGUUUUUGUGAAGGCAAAAUGACCUUUGUUAAGCUUCACAGGCAAAACAGCACUACGCUUUGUUACAGAAACACUGGUCUCAAAAUUCUCCCCUCACCUCAGAGUCCACCUGCUCAGCACCCCCCAACACAGCUGACUUCCUGUUGGCCAGUCACUGCAAGUGUUUGUGCAGAAAGACCACAUCAAUAUAAAAUUUUUUUUUUUGUUGUUGACUCUUCAUGAUAUUUCUCAACUGAAAAUGAGAAGGAAAGUCUGUCUCUGUGAGACUAAGUGGCAAGAAGAAGAGACAGAUGAAAACUGUUAGGAGAAACUGAGCCCAGAACAAUGCGGAACAAAGCGUUUAUUUCCUGGAGACACUUCUCUAAUGAAAAAGUGUUAUGAGAAAAAUUCCAUCAUCUAGAGAAUCAGAAAUCAUUCAGAGAAAAUGGAUUAAUGCAGUUUUCCUAUGUUUUUUUAAAAGAAGCGAGCAGUGGAAACAUUUCAUUAUCUCCAUGAGAGAUUCAAAUGCAUUUGUGUGUGCUGCAGGGAUAAUGGCAUUUCCUGGGACCCUGAAGGUAUUUGGUCUCAUCCCAUGCCUGGCUAUCGGUAGAAGCUUUCAAUUAUCCAAGCACAAGGGAAACGUUUUCUAAAUAAAAAUCAGGCCAAUUCUGUGGAGAAACCUUGCAAGGUUUUUUUUACUUAUUAAUGGUAUUUAGCUUUGACAUUCAGCUGUCAGCCUUGUGAGGCAGCAGAUGCUUGGGACAUGUUUUCACCUGCUGAUGCUGGAGGUGAGAAAGAGCUUUGAAAGGACUGCUGGCAAAACUAGUGUCUGAGUUUUGAAGUUCUGUAUGUACCCUGAAUAUUACCCCAUACAGCUUGGAAUCUCAAAGAAAAGUGAAAAAUGCUAUGGUUAUUGACCAAUGGGACUGUAUUUACAAGUUUUGUGUUCUCAUUUUCCUGGAAAAAUGGCAGUAAAAAUCACAGAAUCUCAGAAUGGUUUAGGUUGGAAAGGAUCUUAAAGCCAGCCCUGACCCUGGCCAUGGGCUGGUUGCCACCCACCAGAUCAAGCUGCUCAGGGUCCAUCCAACCCAGCUUUGAUUGCCUGCAGGGAAGCUCUUGGAAAACCCUCUAAGGGAAGUUCUAUUAUCACUGAAGGAGAUGGGAGUCCUCCCAGUGCGUUACCUUUAUGGUGGGAUGGUAUCUUCCCUAACAUCUGUGGUGUGAAAGCCUGGUGUUGUAGUCCCUCAACACCUAUUUUAUACACCUCUCUGCAGUAUGGACUGAAUGCCCAGAGAACUGCACAUCCUCCCACUGGAUGCAGAGGGCCUGCUCUGCGGAGCAGACUGGGUGCCUAACGUUGGAAUGGUGGAUGGGUGAGGAGCCCUGCUUUCACCAGCUGAUGAACAAAUCAAAUCUUCAAGAACUGUUCUUGGGGGAGCUUCGCAGGGGUGGAAAAAACCUGUGCUAUUUGGAAACUUAAGAACUUACAUAUCUUUUUUUGAAAAUUCACUGAUUUCCAGUCAGCACUACAUGGGUAUAACAGAUCUGUUGUUGAACUCUUUCAAACUAGUCUGGUUUAGAAUCAUUAUUCCACCCAUGAAGCAGAAGAUAAUACUUCAUCUCAGUGAAUUUAUCCCAAAUUCCAUUAAUAUUAGGACCCCCUCUGCAUGGUUAUUUGCCUCGCUAUGAGCCGAUCUCUGGUGGUAUUGAUUGUUUCUAGACUGGGAAGCACAACAUAAAUCAGAGAAAAUUCCGAAAGGAAUUAAUGUUUGAAUUUUCUGGAGAAGCAAGGAGAAUUCUCUAUGCUUAUUCUUAUGUGUUUUGUCAGACUAGCUUGACGCUGGGGACCCUUCCCUAAAAAACAAACAAACAAAAAAAACCCCAAACCACAAAAAAACUGAUCUAAUUCCAUUGCACUAAUUCCAUUUGUUGACACCUCAGCCAUAAACUGAACAAAUUCAGAGAGAAAACGUUCCUUACUUCCCACAGCAGCAGCGGAGGAGUCAGGCAGGGUCAGAGCACGGUGAGAUUCUUUAUAAGGAUAAGAUCACCUGGGGUUCUCUACACAAAGCUGUGAAAGGUGUAUAUGAGGGGAUAUUGAUUUGUGCUAUGCAAAGCUGUUGCCCAUAAUUUGCUUCCUGAUACUGACCAACACAGUGAUUCAAUAGGACUUGGGUGAUCAGAGGGCAAAUUGUUCAGUCUUUUAUGAAGCAGAAAUAUGAGUCCCACUGACUUCUGAUAAGGAUUCAGUUCUAAGUCUGCAAUCUCUGUAAUAUGAGAGGAGUACAGAGUAAAUAUUCACGUCUAAACUUUUCCUCAGUCAUUCUGAAUUCCCUCCAGAAAACUGGAGAGGAAAAAAUCAUUUUUUUAAUGUGAGAGAAAUGAGGAUCUUUCCUUCUGAGGAAGACCACCCCAGAUGAAUGAUUCCUAUUGCUGAUUAUAGCCUCCCCACAGCUAACUGGGAUGUAGAGGCAGUCAUGCCCAGAUGACAGACUCCUGAGUAUCUUGUAUUUUUUUGAAACUGGUGACUGGGUUACCUGAGGAACAUAGCAAGACUGGGGACAUCUGGUUUGAGGAUGAAAGGAAGAAGAAUUUUUCAUAGCUGUUCCUAACCAUACGUAUCCUAUGCAUAAUAUCCUUCCUUGGCUUUCUAAUUUGUAACAACUCCAGGCCCCUAACAGGAAGUCUUCAUUAAGGGAAAUGAAGUAGUCCUAAGCUGUAGAAAGGACAGAAGCAAAGUGCAGAGUAACAAUGUCCUUUCCAACUCCCUUUAUUGCAAUAUAUCAUUUUCUGUUAGCACUCUGGAGAUCACAGAAUCACUGAAUCAUUUGGUUUGGAAGGGACCAACUGGUCCAACUCCCCUGCAGUGAACAGGGACACCCACAGCUCAAUCAGGUGCUCAGAGUCCUGUCCAGCCUGAUCUUGAGUGUCCCCAGGGAUGACCAUCCACCACCUUUCUGGGCAACCAGUGCCAAUGCCUCACCACCACUAUCAUAAAAAAACUUACAUCCAAUCAAAAUCUCCCCUCUUUUACUUUGAAACCGUUUCCUUUUUUCCUAUCAUGAUAGACUCUAUGAAAGAAUUUGGACCUUUCCUUCUUAUGACCCCUCCUUUACAUACUGAUGUUGUUCUUUCUUAAAUACACAACUGUAAUACAGUAAUGAAGAGGAUUUCAAGCAUGUUAUUUUUCAUACAGCAUGCAUCUAGGCUCACCACCACAUCUUGGCAAGGAAAGCAGCUAUGGUAGGAUUUCCUGCAGCAUCACCAGUGCUGCCAUAAGCACAGGUUUCAUCUCAUUAGCUUUGUCUGCAUCCAUCUGUGUUGCAGUGUGAGUAACAAGCACUGUGCUCAGCCCCAGCAGGGACAGCUGAGGUCAAGCUCUUUGUGGUCUCUGAAUGCGAGGCAUCAUCAUCUAAAUGCAGAAAGCUGAGGCUAGGAGCCAUUUCAUCUUCAAUUCCUACUGGAUCUCCUCUGACUUUACUCAGUGCCUGAGAGUCUGUCCAGUAAGAACCAGAUUUCCUGAUCUGCAUGAUUACUGGGUAAGAAAAGACCUUUUCUGAAACUGCUCAUCUUUCUGUUAUCUGUAUGUGAGCCAACAGCUGAUCUGCAAUCCUCAUUUAUGUAUCUGAACACCAUGUUGCAUGAACUCAGACCUGACUUGUGUUAGUUUCACCUCUAAGGAACAAAAGGUUUUGCUGUACUACAGUGCUAAUUCUGCAGCACUUCUUUUCCGAGGAGAUGAAAGAAGAGGAGAAUAACAGUGAUCAGAAAAGGAAAAUGGAAAGCAUUGUUGCUAACAGCAGAAAAACAACUUCACCUCUGCACCCAGGGCUGUCAGCAUGCUCCUGUGCUCCCUACCCCUCCUGGACCAGGGAGCGGUUUCCCCCCCCACACACUUUAUAUUUUCUUUAUUAUUUUAUUUUUUCCCCAGGAGGGCUAUAGAAAUCAAUCCAAGUAAGAAAAGGAAGAGAACUAACAAAAUGAUGAAGAGACAUUGGCAAUAGUCAAAAGGUAGGAGAGAAAGUGUGGGAGUGAAUGCUGGAAUGAUGAAAAGGGAGAUCUUGCCUUUUGGAAACAGGACAGUGCUGAUAAAUAGCCCUGCGUAAGACCGUGGUGAGAAGAGGAAAGAACAGUGUGGAGAUGGAUAGCACAGAUCAAAUGCAGAAGGAAAUCAAUGCAAAUGAAGAAUGAAUAAGGAGAGUAAGGAAAGAAAACUGAGUUUGGAUAAGUUAAUUUUAUUUAUACUCUUUUUAAAUAUACAGAAGUCUUUCCCGGGAGACAUUGUACAUCACAGCUGAAAACAAAAAAGAAAACAGGGAUGUUGAUCAGAUAAGGAUGACAACUCCCACUGCUUGCUUUCAGUCCUCAGGACAAACAUAUGCAAACAGCUGUAAGCCUGGAAAUCCUGCUGCAGAAAUCCACUCCUGCCAGAAGCCCUGCAGGUGCAGCAACGAGACUGUAGCACCAAUAAACAACUCUGCCAGGCCUGCGGGGCGUGUGUCCUGCUCCAUCUUGUGCCACUGCCUCCUAAUCCAGUUAGGCCUAUAGAAAUGUUUCACAGGAAGAUGAGGGAAGAUAUAAACAAAAGAAGCCCCUUCUUUAAGAGAAAGUGAUGGCUUAUGGAUGGGUAUGUUUCUCCCAGUUCCCCAGCUCUUUCCUCCUCCUGCUCUGUCCCUAUUGUACUGUUGCUUUUCCCUUGAAUUGGAUAUGCUAAACUGCUGCUACCUUUAUUUUUAAACCUUGAUAUGAAGCAUCCUGCCUCUAUCACAAUUGCUUAGCUUAUGCUUUUCCUAGGACACUUCAAAUUUGCCUGAGCAGGUCCAGCUGGGGCUUAGCAGCAAUUACUCUGAGUGAAGGAGUGAUUGCUUCCUCAAUCUUUCGUCAAACCAAAUCAAGCUGGGCAGGGGAAAGAGAGGCUAUUUUCUCAUCAGGUAACAGUGGUUGGCUGAAGAUAAGUGGAAACAAUCAAAACUAAGCUAUAGCUUUUCUGCUUCCUGAACAGAAAGUGGUCUUUCCUACCAAUUUUUAUUAAGUUGCAGGAGUUCUGCUCCAUGCAAUUAUCUCCUUCCUUACUUGUUUCACAGAGACUGUGGGCAUCUGCACAUCCCAUGAAUAAGGGAAAUAGUGGCAGGGAAGGGAGUGGGAUGUUACACCCACUUUCCUCUGGAAAAAGGGGCAGAAUUUUGCAAGCAUUGAUAGGUUUAGAAAACAGGAAAACUAAAUACCACCUGUAAAAGAAGGCAAGGCAAG